rnacentral:lncRNA from 1 species
AAAACUACUAGAAAAAGGAAAACAAAAUCAGAAAUCGAAGGAAAAAGUAAGGAGAUAUGCGGCAAGGUGAUAUGAGCAUAUUUAUGCGACUUAGUUAGCUUGUUCUUGUGCAUUUAUGUUGUUAUUUCUUAGUUAAUUAUGUAUUUUAAGAUAUUUUCGUGUGUUUGUAGGUCAUAAUAACAAAGUUGGCAAGAAAUUGCAUUUUGGAGCAUUUUAGAGCAUUUUUUAGCCAAGAUUGGAUAGUGCAAGCAUGGAGACAUGAGGAUUGAUGUUUUUGAAGAUUUGAAGGCUAGAAAUCAGCAUGUGUGUGUGCAAGUGUGUUGACCUACAACUCUAAACAUCCAUCCACUACACCCAUUACAUCCACUCAUUACCAAACACUCAUUCACUACACCCAUUACAUCCACUCAUUACCAAACAUCCACCCACUACACCCAUUACAUCCACUCAUUACCAAACACUCAUCCACUACACCCAUUACAUCCACUCAUUACCAAACCUUCAUCCACUACACCCAUUACAUCCACUAAUUACCAAACAUCCACCAACUACACCCAUUACAUCCACUCAUUACCACAACACUCACCCACAACACCCAUUACAUCCACUCAUUAGAACUCCAUACAUUCCUCUCCCUAGCAUAUAAAUACAUCCACCCUUCACCAUAAUUUGGGGGCCAUCAUCCAAAGACACUACAUUUCACAUCUCACAACUCCAUACACUUACACUUUCAUUCCUAGCCAUGGCACUCAUCCAACCAAAAAUCAAACACAAUUCCAUAUAUUUUCCGUCCCUUGGUCGAGACAUUCACCAAUCCUAAAUACAUUCCUAACCUUUCCAUAUAUCCAUACACAUCCUAGACACUUGUGCUGCAACAAGGUGGUGCAAACAAAGGUCCUUGGCGUUUCAAGCUUGGAACUUUGGAGCUUUUUAGGUGUACUUCGUUCUUGCUUUCAAUGUCUACUUUGUUAUUUUCUAAUCUUGUUGCAAUUAUGAGUGGCUAAACCCCUAUUUAGUUAGGGGGGAAGUUUGAAGCCAUGAACAUGCUUGAGAUAUGAAUUGAUUUCUUCCAAUUGUGAUUUGAUAAGUUGU